UGGGAAAUGAAGAUGCUAUGAACGCUAAUGGAGAAAACGCUAAUGCUAGCGCGACCUCUUUCAAACCAAAGAAAAACUGAAGAGUUCCAGACUGCUCUAAUCAGCGAAUUACAUCUGAGUUCUGUGUGAUACAAGUGUCUGACAGAAUUGAUGUCAAGGAGGAUUCGGCCUGAUUCAAUGAGGGAUUGAGGACCAAUUUUUUUCAACUUCAGCCAACUGUUGGAGCAUCACCCAAAGCAGAUAAGGUCGUGGAGGAAAAGACGUUAGUUUGACCAAUAAGCUACAUUGUAGCUUAUGACACAAUUGAAGUGGGCGUCAACUGUUCCUCCGGCUUUUGGCCCAUUUAAAUGGAGGCCAGUAUCCGGACGAGUCCAGGAUACCUGCUGAUAUCGACAAAGAGAAGCGCAGGAUAAAUUGCCACUCAGUGACGCGUGCUGCCCGUCUUCCAUUGCAAGUAUUGGUGGCUCGGUGGUAGAGUUUUCGCACGCUGCGCGGGAACCCCGAGACUGAUGCCCGGGCACGCCGAUGCAUCUUGGGGUAGCCUUUGCAGCUAGCCUAGCAUCGGGGCAGCAGUUCCGCUACGACAACGCGAGCAGACCAGGAUAUACGGUGUUGGAAAUGUCCCACACUACAACAAAUCAUUAUUUUAUCCACACUGGUUUGAGUGCAAUAUAGUUGUGGUUGGUUCCUUGUUUAAAAUGUGUAAAAGAAAUAAUGUUUGUUUUGCAUGUGGGAUGAGAAUUCAGUAAAACGGCAUGUGAGGGACUAACUUGUCCCCCCCCUUCACAAUACUUAAGUUACUGAAUAUGUAUAUAAAAAUGGAUCUUAAGCUACUAUACCGAGUGUGGUUUGAUAGUCAAUAUCAGUUUGCAUAUGACUGAUGAAAAAGGUAAAAUUUCAGAUUUGAAGAAGUCCAUUGGAACUGUGUUUUGAAAUAAUAAAAAAAAUAAAAUGACAGUGUUGCACACCCUCUAUCCCACCUUGUUUCCAAUUGCCAAAUAUAUAUGCCUUGUAGACUGAAGUGCAAAUUGUGUUUAUUCACAGAUGCAAGACAGUGUUAAAGUAUAAGAAUAAAAUGUCGCAGUAAGGUUUAUUGACCACAUAUGUACAUAAUAUAAUUAUCUAUAAGGAAUGUUUGUAUAUAUAAUGUCUGUUUGUACAUAUGAUGUAUGUGUGUAUGUGCAGGGUGAUUCAAAAACAAUGUGCCAAAAUCACACAUUUAUUCCUUUCAAAAUCAUUGAAAUAGACUGAAAUGAUUAAUUAAAUUGUUAAUUUGAUAAGAAAGUC